CCUACGGGGGGCUGCAGUCGAGGAUCUUUAGCAAUGCCCGAAAGGGUGACUAUGCGACGCCGCGUGCAGGAUGAAGGCCUUCGGGUUGUAAACUGCUGUCAGGGGGGAAGAAACCUUACGUGUUAAUAGCGCGUAAGCUGACAUCACCCCCAAAGGAAGCCACGGCUAACUCUGUGCCAGCAGCCGCGGUAAGACAGAGGUGGCAAGCGUUGUUCGGAUUCAUUGGGUGUAAAGGGCAGGUAGGUGGUUAUGCAAGUCUGGUGUGAAAGCCCACGGCUCAACCGUGGAACUGCAUUGGAAACUACAUGACUUGAGUACCGGAGAGGUGAGGGGAAUUCUCGGUGUAAGGGUGAAAUCUGUAGAUAUCGAGAGGAACACCAGUGGCGAAGGCGCCUCACUGGCCGGUUACUGACACUGAGCUGCGAAAGCAAGGGGAGCAAACAGGAUUAGAUACCCGGGUAGUC
rnacentral:rRNA from 1 species